GGCUGAGUAAUAGAACCUGAAGCUCUCUUCUUGUUCAUUUUCAGGAUGGUUCUCUUGGGUUUGUUUAUUCCUCGGUCUCUCCUGAUUCUGGCCUGAAAGAGCUAAGCCACAGUCAGAUGAUCAAAGCAACUGGUGCAAGACAAUUGCUUUGAUUUGCUGUUUGCUUCAGAUCUGGAUUACCAGCUGUAGCCUUUCUAAUCAAGCCUCUCUGAACACAGGAUUUAAACAUUGACAGAUUCCCAGAAAUUCCCUUGGUCUCAGGGGAGGCAGGCCCGAGUCUUAUUCCGGAGGUGGGCAUAUAAGCCAGUUCUGGCUACGGAACAUCGAGAAAGGUUUACUUCCUGAUAAGAGGAAGGAACUACUUAAAGAGGGGCACAAGAUCCUUUGGAUAACAACAAGGCUGAAGCUACAUGAGGCACUUUCUUUUAAAAAUAUAUAUAUUUUUUGGGGCAGCCCCGGUGGCGUAGUGGUUUAGCGCCGCCUGCAGCCCAGGGCAUGAUCCUGGAGACCCGGGAUCGAGUCCCACGUCAGGCUCCCUGCGUGGAGCCUGCUUCUCCCUCUGCCUGUGUCUCUGCCUCUCUUUCUCUCCCUCUCUCUCUGCA
rnacentral:lncRNA from 1 species